rnacentral:tRNA from 3 species
GGUUUCCUGGUGUAAUGGUCAGCACUGCGGAUUCUGAUUCCGCCAAUCUGGGUUCGAUUCCCAGGGAGACCU